AACCUCCGCAAUGUGAGAAAUCGCGACGGGGGGAUCCCAAGUGCCAUUCUUAACGGGAUGGCUUUUCUUAAGUGUAAAAAGCUUUUGGAAUAAGAGCUGGGCAAGACCGGUGCCAGCCGCCGCGGUAACACCGGCAGCUCUAGUGGUAGCUGUUUUUAUUGGGCCUAAAGCGUUCGUAGCCGGUUUGAUAAGUCACUGGUGAAAUCCUGUAGCUUAACUGUGGGAAUUGCUGGUGAUACUGUUGAACUUGAGGUCGGGAGAGGUUAGCGGUACUCCCAGGGUAGAGGUGAAAUUCUGUAAUCCUGGGAGGACCACCUGUGGCGAAGGCGGCUAACUGGAACGAACCUGACGGUGAGGGACGAAAGCUAGGGGCGCGAACCGGAUUAGAUACCCGGGUAGUCCUAGCCGUAAACGAUGCGGACUUGGUGUUGGGAUGGCUUUGAGCCGCUCCAGUGCCGAAGGGAAGCUGUUAAGUCCGCCGCCUGGGAAGUACGGUCGCAAGACUGAAACUUAAAGGAAUU
rnacentral:rRNA from 1 species